CUAUAACUAGCUUUUCAGGCACUGCCAUACAUGCACAUGUAUUAAUUGUUCUCUCUCCUUCCCAGUGUGAGGGAAAGCUGACAGUAGGCUACACUGGCACAACCAUCGAAGGAGUAAAGAUGCAAAUAUUGACAGAAAGAGUGUGAUCUCUACACCUAAACUGUGUAGGAUAAACUACUUUGAUGUUUUUUAACCAAGCCUGCAGAGGUCUCUCUCUGUUUUUCACUCCUUUUCUGUCCAUUGUAAAGGCUCCCAUACAUGCCAUGCAGGUCUGCUGCUGCUCCUGAUGCACUACAGAUGCAGCAGACAGAGGAGGUCACGGGUCAAACCAAGCCCACACCUGAGAGGCUUUUGCUGUUUCCAUUGGUUCAAACCUGUUACUCACCCAGUCUUCCCAGAUCUAUCUGCCUGUCCUGACCCUGAGCCUGCCUGCCGUUCUGUCCCUGUUUGACCCUGCCUUGGACUACGAACCACUGCCUGCCCUCGACCUGCUCUUUGCCUGCCCCUUUGUAUAAUAACAAUUCUGAGUGUCGAAUUAUCCAC
rnacentral:lncRNA from 1 species